rnacentral:sRNA from 1 species
GCUGGGCAUGGUGGUGCAUACCUGUAAUCCCAGCUGCUGGGGAGGCUGAGAUGGGAGGAUCAUGAGUUCAAAUGCAGUCUCAGUAAUGGCGAGGUGCUAAGCAACUCAGUGAGACCCUGUCUCUA